rnacentral:lncRNA from 1 species
GCAGUCUCAAGUUUGAGAACUGCUGGCUUUUACAGAACAUAAAGCGAAGGUUGAGCCCCAAGGGAGUGGUGGGAAGUUGCUCUAAGAAGAGACAAGGUGGCCCCUCUGGCCUGUGUGAGCGGAAGGCAGCUGCGCUGUGAGCAAGAUCUCGGGAGAUGAGAGUCUGAAGCUUAUGUGUGGCGUGUGGAAAGAAGAGGAACCAGAAAAGAAUGUUUGUGAAGUUCUGGCUUGAAUCUCGUGCCGGGAGUGUGAAGAAGGUCCUUGCUUCCCCUUCACCUUCUGCCAUGAUUCUAAGUUUCCUGACGCCUCCCAGCCGUGCUUCCUGUUAAGCCUGUGAAACUGCUCAUGUGGAAGGGACUUACCUUGUCUCAGAUGAGACUUUGGACUGUGGAUUUUGAGUUAAUGCUGGGAUGAGUUAAGACUUUGGGGGACUGUUGGGAAGGCAUGAUUGGUUUUGAAAUGUGAGAAGAACAUGAGAUUUG